CCUACGGGUGGCAGCAGUGGGGAAUAUUGCGCAAUGGGCGAAAGCCUGACGCAGCGACGCCGCGUGAGGGAUGAAGGUCUUCGGAUCGUAAACCUCUGUCAGCAGGGAAGAGCGGUCACUGUGCUAAUCAGCAGUGAAUUGACGGUACCUGCAAAGGAAGCACCGGCUAACUCCGUGCCAGCAGCCGCGGUAAUACGGAGGGGGCGAGCGUUAAUCGGAAUUACUGGGCGUAAAGCGCUCGUAGGCGGUAUGUCAAGUCAAGGGUGAAAUCCCCGGGCUCAACGUGGGAACUGCCUUUGAAACUGGCAAACUGGAGUGUGUGAGAGGAUAGUGGAAUUCCAGGUGUAGGAGUGAAAUGCGUAGAUAUCUGGAGGAACAUCAGUGGCGAAGGCGACUAUCUGGCACAUAACUGACGCUGAGGAGCGAAAGCGUGGGUAGCAAACAGGAUUAGAUACCCCAGUAGUC
rnacentral:rRNA from 1 species